rnacentral:ncRNA from 1 species
CUUGCGGGAGAGACCGGCGGCUCGUUCGAGCCCGUCGGCGCCGAAGGCGCAACCGCCCCGGAAACGCUCAGGCAAAAGGACCGCAGGGUA